rnacentral:rRNA from 1 species
GAGUUUGAUUAUGGCUCAGAACGAAUGCUGGCGGCAGGUUUGAGGCAUGCAAGUCGAACGAGAAAGUGUAGCAAUACACAAGUAGAGUGGCGCACGGGUGAGUAAUAUAUGGGAAUCUACCUAGAAGUGGGGGAUAACGGUUGGAAACGACUGCUAAUACCGCAUGUGUCGGAAACGAGAAAGAUUUAUCGUUUUUAGAUGAGCCCAUAUUAGAUUAGUUUGUUGGUGAGGUAAAGGCUUACCAAGACUAUGAUCUAUAGCUGGUUUGAGAGAAUGAUCAGCCACACUGGAACUGAGACACGGUCCAGACUCCUACGGGAGGCAGCAGCUAAGAAUAUUGGACAAUGGGGGAAACCCUGAUCCAGCCAUGCCGCGUGAGUGAGAAGGCCUUCGGGUUGUAAAACUCUUUUAAUGGGGAAGAUGAUGACGGACCCAUAGAAUAAGCACCG